rnacentral:rRNA from 1 species
CGCAGCAAACUGUGCGUCAUCGUGUGAACUGCAGGACACAUGAACAUCGACAUUUUGAACGCAUAUCGCAGUCCAUGCUGUUAUGUACUUUAAUUAAUUUUAUAGUGCUGCUUGGACUACAUAUGGUUGAGGGUUGUAAGACUAUGCUAAUUAAGUUGCUUAUAAAUUUUUAUAAGCAUAUGGUAUAUUAUUGGAUAAAUAUAAUAAUUUUUAUUCAUAAUAUUAAAAAAUAAAUGAAAAACAUUAUCUCACAUUUGAAUGUGAAAAACGAAGAGAAAUAUUUUCUUUUUCAAUCAAAUAAUACUGAGAAAUGUCUAGCAUAAAAAAUUGAAAUAUUUUUCAUCUAGAAUUGUCUCUUAUUAAUGAUUCGGAAAUAGAAAAAUCUUGGUUAUGUUAUUAUUCUUCGUUGGUUCGUUAAAAAUGGAUAAAUAAAAACUUUGCAUACAAGAAUUAAUAAAAAUGUUAUAACGAAUUUAAUUAAAUGUUUUAUCAUUAUAUAUAAAGAAUUUAUGGCAAGAUAAAGUUAUAUACAACCUCAACUCAUAUGGGACUACCCCCUGAAUUUAAGCAUAUUAAUUAGGGGAGGAAAAGAAACUAACAAGGAUUUUCUUAGUAGCGGCGAGCGAAAAGAAAACAGUUCAGCACUAAGUCACUUUGUCUAUAUGGCAAAUGUGAGAUGCAGUGUAUGGAGCGUCAAUAUUCUAGUAUGAGAAAUUAACGAUUUAAGUCCUUCUUAAAUGAGGCCAUUUACCCAUAGAGGGUGCCAGGCCCGUAUAACGUUAAUGAUUACUAGAUGAUGUUUCCAAAGAGUCGUGUUGCUUGAUAGUGCAGCACUAAGUGGGUGGUAAACUCCAUCUAAAACUAAAUAUAACCAUGAGACCGAUAGUAAACAAGUACCGUGAGGGAAAGUUGAAAAGAACUCUGAAUAGAGAGUUAAACAGUACGUGAAACUGCUUAGAGGUUAAGCCCGAUGAACCUGAAUAUCCGUUAUGGAAAAUUCAUCAUUAAAAUUGUAAUAUUUAAAUAAUAUUAUGAGAAUAGUGUGCAUUUUUUCCAUAUAAGGACAUUGUAAUCUAUUAGCAUAUACCAAAUUUAUCAUAAAAUAUAACUUAUAGUUUAUUCCAAUUAAAUUGCUUGCAUUUUAACACAGAAUAAAUGUUAUUAAUUUGAUAAAGUGCUGAUAGAUUUAUAUGAUUACAGUGCGUUAAUUUUUCGGAAUUAUAUAAUGGCAUAAUUAUCAUUGAUUUUUGUGUUUAUUAUAUGCACUUGUAUGAUUAACAAUGCGAAAGAUUCAGGAUACCUUCGGGACCCGUCUUGAAACACGGACCAAGGAGUCUAACAUAUGUGCAAGUUAUUGGGAUAUAAACCUAAUAGCGUAAUUAACUUGACUAAUAAUGGGAUUAGUUUUUUAGCUAUUUAUAGCUAAUUAACACAAUCCCGGGGCGUUCUAUAUAGUUAUGUAUAAUGUAUAUUUAUAUUAUUUAUGCCUCUAACUGGAACGUACCUUGAGCAUAUAUGCUGUGACCCGAAAGAUGGUGAACUAUACUUGAUCAGUUGAAGUCAGGGGAAACCCUGAUGGAAGACCGAAACAGUUCUGACGUGCAAAUCGAUUGUCAGAAUUGAGUAUAGGGCGAAGACCAAUCGAACCAUCUAGUAGUG